GACGAACGCUGGCGGCGUGCCUAACACAUGCAAGUCGAACGAGGUCCAACCAGUGGCAACACUGGGGAAGCCCUAGUGGCGAACGGGUGAGUAUCACGUGAGGAACCUGCCCCGAAGACCGGGAUAACCCUCCGAAAGGAGAGCUAAUACCGGAUGCCCUUACCGGACCGCAUGGUCUGGCGAGGAAAUGGAUUCCGCUUCGGGAGGGUCUCGCGGCCUAUCAGCUAGUUGGUGGGGUAACGGCCCACCAAGGCUUCGACGGGUAGCUGGUCUGAGAGGACGAUCAGCCACACUGGGACUGAGACACGGCCCAGACUCCUACGGGAGGCAGCAGUGGGGAAUCUUGCGCAAUGGGCGAAAGCCUGACGCAGCAACGCCGCGUGGGGGAUGAAGGCCCUCGGGUUGUAAACCCCUUUCAGCAGGGACGAAUCUGACGGUACCUGCAGAAGAAGCCCCGGCCAACUACGUGCCAGCAGCCGCGGUAACACGUAGGGGGCAAGCGUUGUCCGGAUUUAUUGGGCGUAAAGAGCUCGUAGGCGGCUCAGUAAGUCGGGUGUGAAACCUCCAGGCUCAACCUGGAGACGCCACCUGAUACUGCUGUGGCUGGAGUCCGGUAGGGGAGCGUGGAAUUCCUGGUGUAGACGGUGAAAUGCGCCAGAUAUCAGGAGGAACACCGGCGGCGAAGGCGGCGCUCUGGGCCGGUACUGACGCUGAGGAGCGAAAGCGUGGGUAGCAAACAGGAUUAAAUCCCCUGGUAGUCCCCCCCAAAAAAGUAGGGCACUGGGUGUGGGUCUCAACCAACGGGAUCUGUGCCGUAGCUAACGCAUUAAGUGCCCCGCCUGGGGAGUACGGCCGCAAGGCCAAAACUCAAAGGAAUCGACGGGGGCCCGCACAAGCGGCGGAGCAUGUUGCUUAAUUCGAGGCAACGCGAAGAACCUUACCUGGGUUUGACAUGUAGGGAAAAGCCGUAGAGAUACGGUGUCCUUCGGGGCCCUACACAGGUGGUGCAUGGCUGUCGUCAGCUCGUGUCGUGAGAUGUUGGGUUAAGUCCCGCAACGAGCGCAACCCUUGUCCUGUGUUGCUACCGGGUAAUGCCGGGCACUCUCAGGAGACUGCCGGGGUCAACUCGGAGGAAGGUGGGGAUGACGUCAAGUCAUCAUGCCCCUUAUAUCCAGGGCUGCAAACAUGCUACAAUGGCCGGUACAACGGGCUGCUACCCCGCGAGGGGACGCGAAUCCCUUAAAGCCGGUCUCAGUUCGGAUUGGAGUCUGCAACUCGACUCCAUGAAGUCGGAGUCGCUAGUAAUCCCGGAUCAGCCACGCCGGGGUGAAUACGUUCCCGGGCCU
rnacentral:rRNA from 1 species